CCAAGGCAGACUGGCGUGCUCCUGCCAUCUCUAGGCGAGUACCUCUAUGAGAGGCUCACUCUCAAGCAAGACUAGGAAG
rnacentral:pre_miRNA from 1 species